rnacentral:snRNA from 1 species
AUACCUUUCUCGGCCUUUUGGCUAAGAUCAAGUGUAGUAUCUGUUCUUAUCAGUUUAAUAUCUGAUAUGUGGGCCAUUGGUCCACACGAUAUUAACUCAAUUUUUUGAGGGGAAGGUCCAUACGGAUAGCUUGCUAUCCGGGCCCUUGUGUGUCGCCUAGGUGUUGCACUACAGUCCAGGUCUGGCGCACCCUAC